rnacentral:rRNA from 1 species
AACGUAGGUGGCGAGCGUUAUCCGGAUUUACUGGGCGUAAAGGGUGUGCAGGCGGGCGACCAAGUGGUGUAUGAAAUCUCCCAGCUAAACUGGGAUAGGUUAUGCCAGACUGGUGGUCUAGAGUGCGAGAGAGGGGCGUGGAAUUCCGGGUGUAGUGGUGAAAUCCGUAGAUCUACGAAGGAACGCCAAAAGCGAAGGCAGCUCUCUGGGUCCCUACCGACGCUGGGGUGCGAAAGCAUGGGGAGCGAACAGG